AUCAGAACAAAACAAAAUAUUGAGUCACCAACGGUGACGAAACAAAAAUUUCAUUGGAACUUGUCGCUCUAUUUGCGUCGCUGGUAAUCAAACCUUCGCAGAAAACAUCGAACGGAAUUGCGUCUGUUACGCGAUGAAUACCGUAGCUUACUGACGACCGACUCAUGGAUAGUCCCCAUUGCUCUCCGACGGGACGUUGAUAGCAUCCAGUUGCAAGGAAUCUCAAGGCGAAGAAGUGCUGUUAUUUUCUACCAUUUAUCAAUAGUUUGCUAUCAAAAAACGCAGUUACAUUCAAGUGGAAACGAUCUUCAACUUCCGGAAGCAAACUUCUACUCAUAAUGAAGAGUACAAUACCUCCUCGCCUCGGGAUAAAACGUAUAUCAAAAAAGCCUCUUUUAUUUAUAAUUUUAUUUUGAUUGUUGUAUAACUUAGCCAAUUUCCCGAUUUACUUUAUUUUAUUUUACCCUUAUGAAAUAACAAUACUUUGUCGAUAUCGCCAACAACU